AUGCUGCUGCUAUGUACUCCAAAGUUCACUCAGACACGCAUCGAUGUUGACAAGAAGAAGUGCCUAUAUUCAUUCGAGUAUCAACCGGCGCCAACCAGUUGUCAAACACCAGGUUGGCCCGCCCAGCAAAUGGGCUGCUGGUCCACCACGGACUGGGAGGCUAAAAAUACAAGUUUCCCGCCGCCGGCCCCCUCUUUAAUCCAGUUCGCUCGAGGAUCUAGCUGGUACUAUCAUUUUUUUCCAGAGGGCGAACAAGUAUCAGCUAGGCCUAGUGCGAAGAGAUGGUUAUUUGCCCUCCAAGAGAGGCUCAAGCCGGACGAGUUUGUUAGAUUAGUGGUAACUUUGUGGGCAAUUUGGGGAGCCAGGAGGAAAGCAAUUCAUGAAGGACUGUUUCAGAGUCCCCAGUCGAUCAACGAUUUCAUAAGCUCCUACUUAUCAGAGAUUAAUGUCAUCUAUACUCAGAAAGUUACUCCGGCUAAUGCUACUAUAGCAAGACCACGGCGAUGGCUGCCUCCGGCAGACAAUCACGCCAAAAUCAACACCGAUGCUGCGGUGGGAGGUCGAGGGAAAUUCAGGACGGUUGCAGCGAUCUGUAGAGAUGGAGCAGGGAUUUUUGCUGGAGCGUCGGCUAUUGUCUACAGAACGAUUGGAGAUCCAGCUACGUUGGAGGCCUUAGGAGUUGUGGAUGAAAUCCAGAAGGAUGGUGCAUCGAACGAUGGUGCAGUAACUCAGGAGAUUAAAUUGCAUUCAGUUUCUUUUAUUUCUUCAUACCUCGAUCCUUCGCCACCCGCCAUUCUUCCUCCUCGCAAAAACCAGAAGCUAGGUUUUGCGCCCCUCGUCGGACGGUCGCUCUCCCUCCCGCCGCCGCAGACGAGCCGCCUAGGGUACGCCCGUUUUGAUGGACAUUUUCUCUUUGGUUAA
rnacentral:rRNA from 1 species